rnacentral:rRNA from 1 species
UUCCAGACUCCUACGGGAGGCAGCAGUCGGGAAUAUUGCGCAAUGGAGGAAACUCUGACGCAGUGACGCCGCGUAUAGGAAGAAGGUUUUCGGAUUGUAAACUAUUGUCGUUAGGGAAGAUAAAAGACAGUACCUAAGGAGGAAGCUCCGGCUAACUACGUGCCAGCAGCCGCGGUAAUACGUAGGGAGCAAGCGUUAUCCGGAUUUACUGGGUGUAAAGGGAGCGUAGACGGCGCUGCAAGUCCGGAGUGAAAGUCCAUGGCUUAACCAUGGUACUGCUCUGGAAACUGUGGAGCUUGAGUGCGGGAGGGGCAGGCGGAAUUCCUAGUGUAGCGGUGAAAUGCGUAGAUAUUAGGAGGAACACCGGCGGCGAAGGCGGCCUGCUGGACCGUAACUGACGUUGAGGCUCGAAAGCGUGGGGAGCAAACAGGAUUAGAUACCCCAGUACUG